rnacentral:lncRNA from 1 species
CUUUUUUCGGUUUUUAUCAAGACCUAGAGUCUGUAACCAACAGGAACUAUCUCUGGAUAACUUAAACAGAAAUAGAAUUUAUCCAAAUAAUAUUGAAGAAUUUACAGAACUGACAAAAGUGUUUGGGAACCAAAGUCAAGAAACAACAGAAAAUAAACCAAAAAUAUACAGAAAAAUCAUAGAAAUAGUUUUGAAGAACACUGGUUAAACUUAAAGGCUGUUGACUAUGCAUCAUAAAUACUUGUGAAUGGUUUAACUUUCUUCUGAGCUUCAUGUCAAACUCUCAAGCUGUAAGCCUGACGCUGGAAGAUCUGAUUUACUAGGCCUAGAUCACAAAGCCCCACUACAGGUACUACAGAACUGAAAAAGAGACUGUCUGCCCCACUCUGGUUUUCAGUGUAGAAACAAAGGCCCUGCUGGUAAACUUUCUUGGAACCACAAAGGAAUAAGAAGAACAUUUGAAUAUUGACAACUAAAACAAAUGCUCACUGUAAUCCACUCUCUCAAUUGUUCAGCAUUGACACUAUUCUUCUUUUCAUAUUAGAGUUCAGAAAAGAAUCCCAUACUGUAGCAGAAGGCAACUGUGUCUCAUGUAUACUUAUACUCUUCUUCAAGGCUUAUCAACGGAGCAGUUCACAACAUGAUAUUUGCCUUCUAUCAGAAGCACAUGGGAAUGCAAAAGAGAGAGACUUCUGGAUCACCUACAGCAACCCCAAAGGGAAACAAGAUGGAACAAUCUGAUACUCAACCACCUGGACUCUGAACUGGCAACAAAAGAGGAUCUGGGAAAAAUGAAAUCAGAAAUAAUUACUCAGAUAACAGCAAAGAUUUUUCUCAUGGUGCAAGACAUGAUUAAUAAAUCUAGAGAGGACACAGAUUAAAAAAAUAGAGGAUCUGAGGAACAUGAUGGAAUCCCAACAUAGGAAACAAAUGGAAUCCAUAAAACAGAUGCAAACAGAUUUCCAGGAGAUUAAAAACUCCAUCGAAAGUCUGCACAGCAGAAUGAACCAAUGUGAGGAUAGAAUUUCAGAUAUAGAAGAAAAGAUUGCAAUUAGUGGCCAGGAAAAGAAAAAUUGCUUUAAAAUUGUAAAGUAAUACAAGAAAUCAAUCCAGCAGCUGCUAGAUGAUGCAAAGAAGAAUAACAUAAGACUGAUUGGUGUCAAUGAAGAAAGAGGAGAGAGUGCAGAUGACAUACUGCAUUAAAUCUUAAAACUGAGGAAUUUAAAAAGACAUUUAUUAAAAAUAAUCUGUUAAAUGUGAACAUACAAGUAGACAUCUGUGAAAAGAG